ACACAGCCCAAACGAGGAUCUCCUAGUUUAAAGAUUUAAAUGUGGAAAUGUUGCCACCGCAUCGCGUUUUUUUUCACAAGGCUUUGGCAUUUGCACUAGCAGUGAACACACACACAUAGGCUACAACACACACAAUAGUGCGGAUGUCUGUGGUCACUGCACAAACCUCAGCUACGCAGAAUAGGAGAUGUUCACAUUUGGAAUGUGGAUAAAAAAAAACAAUGUUGCUCCAUCUAAUAGAAGGCUAUGCAUAACAUGUACAAAUAAGAUGGAUGGUAAACCAACGGGAAUAGCCUACGUCAGUUUCCUACCAAAAGGAAUAGGAACGAAUAACAUCGAAUACAUUUCGAUUCCCCGGAAAGGACACCGGGAAUAUGAUAGCGUCAGAGUACAGUUGACGCAGGUACCUACAGCGCUCUACUCACUCCUGGAGCAGCACGGACCUUUCUCACCUGCUCAGAAGGCGCGGGACCCCUUAACACGCCACCUAUCUUCACGUGGAGGGAUAAUUGAGGAGUAUGUGUGUGAGCGUCGUUUGGAGAAGAACGUGAUCAAGUUGUUGUCUUCCUUGAGAUUAUAUUUAUCAUUUGUAGGCUAUGCUUUGAGUCAAAGGUUAGAGGAAUUACCCACGAAUCAGACUUCCAAUAGCGACAUCAUAAAUGAAAUAAAACAGCACUGUAAUUGCAGUGAGAGAGAAGACGUUUAUAAUUCGGUGACAGGCACUGUCCAUACUGGCAUAUGAGAACAAUCUGUGAAAAGAGCGCCGAAGUACCUGAUUGGAGCGCACAGGUAGUUUACCUGUACAUAUAGCUCCCUUCCUGCAUGUAUCCAGAGGCACAACAGCGGAUAGGUAGCCUACCUCUGCCCUUUAUCUUGACUGAGUGACUGUAUAUUCUCAUUGAAAAUCGUUCUGUGCCAUUCCGCAUGUAUUUAUUGUACAAAAACGAAAGGGGGAAGAUGCAGACAUAUUUUUCUACCGGGCUCUCACUGGCACUAACUAAACACGCUGCGGCAAAGGCGUAAUUUAUAACCUGCAAAUAUGCAUAUCAUAUUAUAUAGGGCUUUUUUGAUUAUGUUUCAUGUUUAUCACAUUUAAAAAAAAAUCAUCAUCACUUGUAGGCUCCAGUCAGUCAUGUGCAGCGGAGAGUAACUAACACACAUGGUUUGUGGUUGGUAAAGUAGGCUAUUCCCCUCCCUUCUCGGUAUCUAUUUAUUUUCUGUAUGGAUGGAUGAUAAGUUCACAAAUGGAUGGAAGCGGCUAUAUGAUGAGCCCACUCAAAGCCAUUUGGAUUUGAAUGGAGCUCAUACGAAACCAGGAAUAUGGAAACUUGAUCAAGAUGGCAGGUUAUCAGGAGGAAGAGCGCUGGGUGCUGGUGUCCUCAUCACGUUCUCAACUUACUGUUACUGUAUGGCAGAUUUCGUUGAGCAAUUCAUUUGGUUUUGGGCUGUCCCCUGGCGUCUCCACCUCCCAGAGAAAUGUCUGAGGCCUUGAUAUAUUCCUCUCAGGUUUCCAUGGCCGCACCGCAGGGCCAGAUCCCGUUGCACUGAUGUCACUCAUGAAUUGAACCACCUCUCUACGGGAAGGGAUUCACAAGGUGGAAAGGGAGUUGGAUGACAGAAAGCAGCUGACAGACCAGGGCCCAUAGCAGUGCUGAUCUCAGAGUAGCAGUACUGAUUUAGGAUCAGUUUAGCCUUAUAGAUCACAAUGAAUAUGAUUACAAUGACAAGGGGGAGCUAGUCCUAGAUCGCUAUUCCUACUCUGAAGCAGCUUUGUGAAUACGGGCCCUGGAAGAAAGCUGUUGCCCAAUUCCUUGCACAGCAGUCGUUUCACCACAGGACCCUAGAGGUAUUACAGUCAAUGCUUAUGAACUGAGUAUAAGUGAAUUUCCAUAAAUCAAUGACACUUACAAAUAGGUAGAAUUGUUCAGCAACAUGUGCAGUAAAUGCUAACACGGCUUUGCAAAUGAAAGGUACAUAAUGUAUUUAUUGUCAUCUCCCUAUCAUGCUGUGACAUGGGCCUGGAUGAUGACAAAUGUUCUUCAAGCUGCUUGAUUGAAUACUGGGGCCUUCAGUGCUACUGGAAGCAAGUGCCUUACCAGGGAGCACAGCAACAGUCUCUCUCACAGCCAUUCUGUCAACAUGUAUUGAAUGUAACCACUCAAAUUUAUAUGAACGACUACUGGCGAAAGCACUGACUUAUAUUUACUUUGUCUAUUUGAACCAUCCUUCAAUCUUGACUGGGAUACAUAUUUUAGUUCACACACCUUUGUGAUGUGUCUGAUAAACAUGAAUAAAAAUGUUUUCACCCUUGCACUGAUUUUAGACCUUUUGAAUCAUAAGCUGUAAGUGCUGUAUCGAUUUUGAAAUUACCACAGAAAUACAAAAAAUGUAAUAAAAAAGUGAAGACCAACAUGCCAAA